GGAGCGGUGUCCGAGCGGUUGAAGGAGGCGGUCUUGAAAACCGUUGUGCCGUAAGGUACCGGGGGUUCGAAUCCCCCCUGCUCCG
rnacentral:tRNA from 1 species